GUGCUCACUUUGGCAGCCCACAUACUAAAAUUAGAAUGAUACAGAGAUUAGCAUGGCCUCUGGGCAAGGAUGACACCAAAUUCAUGAAGUGUUUCAUAUUUUU